GCAACCAUCAUUAUCUUCACCGAC
rnacentral:miRNA from 1 species